rnacentral:rRNA from 1 species
GUGAAGCCCAGCUUGCUGGGUGGAUCAGUGGCGAACGGGUGAGUAACACGUGAGCAACCUGCCCUCCACUUCGGGAUAAGCCUUGGAAACGGGGUCUAAUACCGGAUAUGAGCUCGCAUCGCAUGGUGUGGGUUGGAAAGUUUUUCGGUGGGGGAUGGGCUCGCGGCCUAUCAGCUUGUUGGUGGGGUGAAGGCCUACCAAGGCGUCGACGGGUAGCCGGCCUGAGAGGGCGACCGGCCACACUGGGACUGAGACACGGCCCAGACUCCUACGGGAGGCAGCAGUGGGGAAUAUUGCACAAUGGGCGCAAGCCUGAUGCAGCGACGCCGCGUGAGGGAUGACGGCCUUCGGGUUGUAAACCUCUUUCAGCAGGGAAGAAGCGCAAGUGACGGUACCUGCAGAAGAAGCGCCGGCUAACUACGUGCCAGCAGCCGCGGUAAUACGUAGGGCGCAAGCGUUGUCCGGAAUUAUUGGGCGUAAAGAGCUCGUAGGCGGUCUGUCGCGUCUGGUGUGAAAUCCCGAGGCUCAACCUCGGGCUUGCAUCGGGUACGGGCAGACUAGAGUGCGGUAGGGGAGACUGGAAUUCCUGGUGUAGCGGUGGAAUGCGCAGAUAUCAGGAGGAACACCGAUGGCGAAGGCAGGUCUCUGGGCCGCAACUGACGCUGAGGAGCGAAAGCAUGGGGAGCGAACAGGAUUAGAUACCCUGGUAGUCCAUGCCGUAAACGUUGGGCACUAGGUGUGGGGCUCAUUCCACGAGUUCCGUGCCGCAGCUAACGCAUUAAGUGCCCCGCCUGGGGAGUACGGCCGCAAGGCUAAAACUCAAAGGAAUUGACGGGGGCCCGCACAAGCGGCGGAGCAUGCGGAUUAAUUCGAUGCAACGCGAAGAACCUUACCAAGGCUUGACAUGUACGAGAAAGCCCCCGAGACGGGGUUCUCUUUGGACACUCGUACACAGGUGGUGCAUGGUUGUCGUCAGCUCGUGUCGUGAGAUGUUGGGUUAAGUCCCGCAACGAGCGCAACCCUCGUCCUAUGUUGCCAGCGGGUUAUGCCGGGGACUCAUGGGAGACUGCCGGGGUCAACUCGGAGGAAGGUGGGGAUGACGUCAAAUCAUCAUGCCCCUUAUGUCUUGGGCUUCACGCAUGCUACAAUGGCCGGUACAGAGGGCUGCGAUACCGUAAGGUGGAGCGAAUCCCAAAAAGCCGGUCUCA